UACGUAGGGCGCAAGCGUUGUCCGGAAUUAUUGGGCGUAAAGAGCUCGUAGGCGGUCUGUCGCGUCGGUUGUGAAAACCCAAGGCUCAACCUUGGGCCUGCAAUCGAUACGGGCAGACUAGAGUCCGGAAGAGGAGAGUGGAAUUCCUGGUGUAGCGGUGAAAUGCGCAGAUAUCAGGAAGAACACCCGUGGCUAAGGCGGCUCUCUAGUACGGUACUGACGCUGAGACGCGAAAGCGUGAGGAGCGAACAGG
rnacentral:rRNA from 1 species